AGAGUUUGAUUAUGGCUCAGGAUGAACGCUAGCUACAGGCUUAACACAUGCAAGUCGAGGGGCAGCAUGGGUGUAGCAAUACACCUGAUGGCGACCGGCGCACGGGUGCGUAACGCGUAUCCAACCUGCCGUGUACUCCGGGAUAGCCCUCUGAAAGGAGGAUUAAUACCGGAUGUGGUCAUUUGGAGACAUCUCUUAAUGAUUAAAGAUUUAUCGGUACACCGAUGGGGAUGCGUACGAUUAGGUAGUCGGCGGGGCAACGGCCCACCGAGCCUUCGAUCGUUAGGGGUUCUGAGAGGAAGGUCCCCCACAUAGGAACUGAGACACGGUCCUAACUCCUACGGGAGGCAGCAGUGAGGAAUAUUGGUCAAUGGGCGAGAGCCUGAACCAGCCAAGUAGCCGUGAAGGAUGACUGCCCUACGGGUUGUAAACUUCUUUUACGGGGGAAUAAGGUGCGGCACGCGUGCCGUUUUGCAUGUACCCCAUGAAUAAGCAUCGGCUAAUUCCGUGCCAGCCGCGGC
rnacentral:rRNA from 1 species